rnacentral:lncRNA from 1 species
CUUCCUUAUGUUAUCAAUCAUAGUUAUCUUUUAUGUAACAAAAACUGAGUAGCAAAAUACUUACGUGUGCUCAUUCACUUCAGUUGUGUCUGGCUCUUUGUGACCCUAUGGACUAUAGCCCAACAGGCUCCUCUGUCCAUGGGAUUCUCCAGGCAAGAAUACUGGAGUGGGUUGCCAUUCACUUCUCCAUGGGAUAGUCUCGACCCAGGGAUCUAACCCAGGUCUCUUGCACUGCAGGCAGAAUCUUUGCCCACUGAGCCACCUGGGAAGCCCUGCAAAAUACUUUUAUACAAGUCUGCUAAGAAGUUGGAACACAGAUCCAGACAACGUCUCCUAGAGACAGCCCAGGAGAGUGAAAAGAGCAGAGGCUGUGUGUUUUCUCACAACUCCACCAGCUCGGUGAACUUGGGCAAGUCACUUGACCUCUGUGGGACUCAAUAACACGGUCUAUAAAACAUGACAACAUUGUCAACCCAGAAAGCAAUCAAUAAAGAUAAAGCUCUGGUUGCCCCAAAAAGGAGGUUGGACUAAAUUGAAUCUUCUGAUUCCAAUUUUAUGAACUGCAAUAAAAUCUCUCUAGGGUGCAGGAUUACAUCUGUGUUGAAGAAUGACUACAUUAAGACAAUUAUCAGACGCUCUUUAUGCUUCCAAAUUGGAGGCACUUUAUCUAUGCUGACACUAGGGUGGAGCUUAGAAAGAAAACCAGCAGGAAAGUCAAGUGCACUUGAUGAAAAACCGCCCACAGCUCCGAGUUUCACAGGUCGGUGGAGCCCCCGCAGUUCUGCCGGACCAACAAGCUCUCCGCCGACGUUGUAGGCACACAAGUUCACAACACGUUAAGAAAUGAGACUUUCUCAUUAUGAGGCAGUCUACUCAACUGAGUUAUCAGAGGAUUGAAAUAAAAGGAUUUCAGUCAUCCUUUCUUGAAAAAUC